UACGUAGGGGGCUAGCGUUGUCCGGAAUCAUUGGGCGUAAAGAGCGUGUAGGCGGCCCGGUAAGUCCGCUGUAAAAGUCAAAGGCUCAACCUUUGAAUGUCAGUGGAUACUGCCGGGCUAGAGUCCGGAAGAGGCGAGUGGAACUCCUGGUGUAGCGGUGAAAUGCGCAGAUAUCAGGAGGAACACCGGUGGCGAAGGCGGCUUUCUGGGCCUUACCUGACGCUGAGGAGCGAAAGCUGGGGGAGCGAACAGG
rnacentral:rRNA from 1 species